UACGUAGGGGGCAAGCGUUGUCCGGAAUCAUUGGGCGUAAAGAGCGUGUAGGCGGUUCGGUAAGUCGGCUGUGAAAGUCCAGGGCUCAACCCUGGGAUGCCGGUCGAUACUGCCGGACUAGAGUUCGGAAGAGGCGAGUGGAAUUCCCGGUGUAGCGGUGAAAUGCGCAGAUAUCGGGAGGAACACCUAUGGCGAAGGCAGCUCGCUGGGACGUUACUGACGCUGAGACACGAA
rnacentral:rRNA from 1 species